rnacentral:rRNA from 1 species
CUUACGGGAGUCAGCAGAGUUGAAUAUCGUGCAAUGGGGGACACCGGGGAGUAGUGACCAAUGGUGAGAAGCGAAGGCCUUAGGGUUGUAAAGGUGGAAGAUAGCGGUCGAAUGUUGAGAUGAGUUUAUAGGGGAAAGAAGGACGGUACCCUAAGAGGAAGCCCCGGCUAAAUACGUGCCAGCAGCCGCGGUAAGACGUAGGGGGCGAGCGUUUCCGGAAUUACUGGGCGUAAAGAGCACGUAGGCGGGACUACAAGUCAGAGGGAAAGACCGGGGCUCAACUCCGGGGUGGCACUAGAAACUGGAGUUCUUGAGUGCAGGAGAGGAAAGCAGAAUUCCUGGUGUAGCGGUGAAAUGCGUAGAUAUCAGGAGGAAGGCCAGUGGCGAAGGCGGCUUUCUGGACUGAGCCUGACGCUGAGGUGCGAAAGCGUGGGGAGCAAACAGGAUUAGAUACCCCGGUAGU